rnacentral:rRNA from 1 species
GACGAACGCUGGCGGCGUGCUUAAUACAUGCAAGUCGAACGGAAAGGCCCUGCUUUUGUGGGGUGCUCGAGUGGCGAACGGGUGAGUAACACGUGAGUAACCUGCCCUUGACUUUGGGAUAACUUCAGGAAACUGGGGCUAUUACCGGAUAGGAGCUCCUGCUGCAUGGUGGGGGUUGGAAAGUUUCGGCGGUUGGGGAUGGACUCGCGGCUUAUCAGCUUGUUGGUGGGGUAGUGGCUUACCAAGGCUUUGACGGGUAGCCGGCCUGAGAGGGUGACCGGCCACAUUGGGACUGAGAUACGGCCCAGACUCCUACGGGAGGCAGCAGUGGGGAAUAUUGCACAAUGGGCGGAAGCCUGAUGCAGCAACGCCGCGUGCGGGAUGACGGCCUUCGGGUUGUAAACCGCUUUCGCCUGUGACGAAGCGUGAGUGACGGUAAUGGGUAAAGAAGCACCGGCUAACUACGUG